AGCUAAGAAUAUUCCGCAAUGGACGAAAGUCUGACGGAGCGACGCCGCGUGGAUGAAGAAGGCCGAAAGGUUGUAAAAUUCUUUUGUCGGGGAAGAAUAACCAUGGGAGGGAAUGCCCGUGGGAUGACAUGAACCGGCGAAUAAGCCCCGGCUAACUACGUGCCAGCAGCCGCGGUAACACGUAGGGGGCGAGCGUUGUUCGGAAUUACUGGGCGUAAAGGGCAUGUAGGCGGUUUUGUAAGACUGGCGUGAAAGGCUGCAGCUUAACUGUAGCACUGCGCUGGUAACUACAAGACUUGAGUCGCGGAGAGGGAGCUAGAAUUCCAGGUGUAGGGGUGAAAUCUGUAGAUAUCUGGAAGAAUACCAGUGGCGAAGGCGAGCUUCUGGCCGAUGACUGACGCUGAGGUGCGAAAGCGUGGGUAGCAAACAGGAUUAGAUACCCUGGUAGUCCACGCGGUAAACGAUGCACACUAGGUGCUGGGGCGGACGCUUCAGUGCCGGAGUUAACGUGGUAAGUGUGCCG
rnacentral:rRNA from 1 species